CUGAAGCAAGCCCCAGGCUCUGAGCUGUCAGCACAGAGCCUGAUGUGGGGUUCGAACUCAUGAACGACAAGAUCAUGACCUGAGCCGAAGACAGAUGCUCACCUGACUGAGCCACCCAGGAGCCCUGAAGUAUACAACUUUCAGGUUUUAUUCUUCUUUCUCCAUUUUCUCUAGCUAGAAUUCUGAUGUGAUAGUGAACCAUCCUGGACAUACAGGAACCACUUUUAAAUGGCUCGUUUUAAUCCUGGUGUUUGCACCUUCCAGUCACAUCCUUCUGAGUAAUCAACAAAUACAUGUGGGACUUCUCUCCUGGAUGCAUGAGAAAAAUGGGCCUAGGAAUCCCUCAAGCUGGAAACUCUCUAGCUUUUUAUUGGUGAUAACUUCUGAUACUGCCACCAUCCAAAGCAUCAAGGACCUUUCUUGGUCACAGUGUUCUCUUCAUGAAUACUUCUCUGUGCACACUCUCUCCCUACCCUGUUCGUUGUUUAAAUAGAACUUUUAAGGUAGUAAGUUCCGAUUUUGGAGAACAUCCCCAAUAUAGGCAGAUCUGUUAAUGAUAUGAUGUGCUUGUUUCUGUUCUUUAUUUCCUUUAGCCUUAGCUUAAUCCACUUAUCAGACAACUGUAUGUUAAAAUAUUUCACGUCUCAGUUCUACCUUUGUAUCAUCAACGAACUUUACCAACCUACAGUUCUUGGUUAUGGCAGAAGCAAGAUCAUGUUUAUCCAUCAUGACCAGGUCUCUCCCUUAGUAUCAGAAUGGGCUAUUCCUCUGCAGUCUCCCAAAGCCCCUUUAGACUUCCAUUUCUAGGUCACAAACCACCAAGCUUCUCGUGGGCACUCUGCAUUACUGUUUUUUCUCUGUUACUUCCAAGGAUCUUGUAGCCCAUCUACCUUUAACAGCCCCUCAUUUCUUAUGACCCAACUUGUUCUUUAACCGUGUCUCUUUUCCUCA